AGGGGGCUAUCAUGCAGUCGAACGAACUUCCGUUAAUUGAUUAUGACGUACUUGUACUGAUUGAGAUUUUAACACGAAGUGAGUGGCGAACGGGUGAGUAACACGAUGGGUAACCUGCCCAGAAGUAGGGGAUANCACCUGGAAACAGAUGCUAAUACCGUAUAACAGAGAAAACCGCAUGGUUUUCUUUUAAAAGAUGGCUCUGCUAUCACUUCUGGAUGGACCCGCGGCGUAUUAGCUAGUUGGUGAGGUAAAGGCUCACCAAGGCAGUGAUACGUAGCCGACCUGAGAGGGUAAUCGGCCACAUUGGGACUGAGACACGGCCCAGACUCCUACGGGAGGCAGCAGUAGGGAAUCUUCCACAAUGGACGCAAGUCUGAUGGAGCAACGCCGCGUGAGUGAAGAAGGGUUUCGGCUCGUAAAGCUCUGUUGUUAAAGAAGAACGUGGGUAAGAGUAACUGUUUACCCAGUGACGGUAUUUAACCAGAAAGCCACGGCCUAGCUACGUUCCAGCAGCCGCGGUAAUACGUAGGUGGCAAGCGUUAUCCGGAUUUAUUGGGCGUAAAGCGAGCGCAGGCGGUCUUUUAAGUCUAAUGUGAAAGCCUUCGGCUCAACUGAAGAAGUGCAUUGGAAACUGGGAGACUUGAGUGCAGAAGAGGACAGUGGAACUCCAUGUGUAGCGGUGAAAUGCGUAGAUAUAUGGAAGAACACCAGUGGCGAAGGCGGCUGUCUGGUCUGCAACUGACGCUGAGGCUCGAAAGCAUGGGUAGCGAACAGGAUUAGAUACCCUGGUAGUCCAUGCCGUAAACGAUGAUUAUUAAGUGUUGGAGGGUUUCCGCCCUUCAGUGCUGCAGCUAACGCAUUAAGUAAUCCGCCUGGGGAGUACGACCGCAAGGUUGNAACUCAAAAGAAUUGNCGGGGGCCCNCACAANCGGUGGAGCAUGUGGUUUAAUUNGAAGCUACGCGAAGAACCUNANCAGGUCUNGACAUCUUCUNACAGUNUAAGAGAUUAGAGGUUCCNUUCGGNGACAGAAUGACAGNUNGUGCAUGGUUGUCGUCAGCUCGUGUCGUGNGAUGUUGGGUUAAGUCCNGCAACGAGCGCAACCCUUAUUACUAGUUGCCAGCAUUAAGUNGGGCACUCUAGUGAGACUGCCGGUGACAAACCGGAGGAAGGUGGGGACGACGUCAAAUCAUCAUGCCCCUUAUGACCUGGGCUACACACGUNNUACAAUGGAUGGUACAACGAGUCGCNAGACCGCGAGGUUAAGCUAAUCUCUUAAAACCAUUCUCAGUUCGGAACUGUAGGUCUGCAACUCGCCUACACGAAGUCGGAAUCGCUANAUCC
rnacentral:rRNA from 1 species